GAUGAGUGGACGUUCCCGGAGGGGUAUCGAAUCCCGCGAGAGCACCUCCGUUCGAUGUCGCCAAACGUCGUCUAUGCCUACUGCGCGAUGAAGCAGGCCAUCGCCGACGCGAACCUUCCGGCCGACCUGGUUUCGCAUCCGCGCACGGGCGUGAUGUGCGCAUCGGCCGGUUCGUCCUGGCUCACUUAUCAGCACCUCGACAUGAUGCUCGAGAAGGGCCCGAACCGUUGCAACCCGAUGGCGAUGGUGGCGAGCAUCGCCGGCACCCUGAAUAUGAACCUCGUCGCGGCCUUUCGGAUCAAGGGUCACUCCUGCGGGUUUUCCACCGCCUGCGCCUCCUCCGCGCAUGCCCUCGGGGAAGCCUUCGAUCGGAUCCGCUGGCGGCGGCAGGAUGUGAGGGU
rnacentral:misc_RNA from 1 species